GACGGAGGGUGCUAGCGUUGUUCGGAAUUACUGGGCGUAAAGCGCACGUAGGCGGAUUUGUAAGUCAGGGGUGAAAUCCCGGGGCUCAACCUCGGAACUGCCUUUGAUACUGCAAGUCUUGAGUCCGAUAGAGGUGAGUGGAAUUCCUAGUGUAGAGGUGAAAUUCGUAGAUAUUAGGAAGAACACCAGUGGCGAAGGCGGCUCACUGGAUCGGUACUGACGCUGAGGUGCGAAAGCGUGGGGAGCAAACAGG
rnacentral:rRNA from 1 species